rnacentral:rRNA from 1 species
GAUGAACGCUGGCGGCGUGCCUAAUACAUGCAAGUCGAGCGAACGGACGAGAAGCUUGCUUCUCUGAUGUUAGCGGCGGACGGGUGAGUAACACGUGGAUAACCUACCUGUAAGACUGGGAUAACUUCGGGAAACCGUAGCUAAUACCGGAUAAUAUUUUGAACCGCAUGGUUCAAAAGUGAAAGACGGUCUUGCUGUCACUUAUAGAUGGAUCCGCGCUGCAUUAGCUAGUUGGUAAGGUAACGGCUUACCAAGGCAACGAUGCAUAGCCGACCUGAGAGGGUGAUCGGCCACACUGGAACUGAGACACGGUCCAGACUCCUACGGGAGGCAGCAGUAGGGAAUCUUCCGCAAUGGGCGAAAGCCUGACGGAGCAACGCCGCGUGAGUGAUGAAGGUCUUCGGAUCGUAAAACUCUGUUAUUAGGGAAGAACAUAUGUGUAAGUAACUGUGCACAUCUUGACGGUACCUAAUCAGAAAGCCACGGCUAACUACGUG